rnacentral:rRNA from 1 species
CGUAAACAAAGGGAGGCAAGACGGCGCGUCAGCAAAUCCCAGAAAUAACGUCCCAGUUCGGAUUGUAGUCUGCAACCCGACUACAUGAAGCUGGAAUCGCUAGUAAUCGCGGAUCAGAAUGCCGCGGUGAAUACGUUCCCGGGUCUUGUACACACCGCCCGUCACACCAUGGGAGUCGGAAAUGCCCGAAGUCAGUGACCCAACCGUAAGGAGGGAGCUGCCGAAGGUGGAGCCGGUAACUGGGGUGAAGUCGUAACAAGGUAUC